rnacentral:rRNA from 1 species
GACGAACGCUGGCGGCGUGCUUAACACAUGCAAGUCGAACGGACAGGCCCUGCUCUUGUGGGGUGCACGUGAGGCGAACGGGUGAGUAAAACGCGUGUAAACUGCCCUUGUCUUUGGGAUAACUUCAGGAAACUGGGGAUCAUACCCGAUAGGAUCUCUUGCUGCAUGGUGGUGGUUGGAAAGUUUCGGCGGUUGUGGAUGGACUCGCGGCUUACCAGCUUGAUGGUGGGGUAGUGGCUUACCAAGGCUUUGAAGGGUAGCGGGCCUGAGAGGGUGACCGGCCACAUUGGGACUGAGAUACGGCCGAGACUGCUACGGGACGCAGCAGUGGGGAAGAUUGCAGAAGGGGCGGAAGCUUGAUGCAGCAACGCCGCGUGCGGGAAGACGGCCUUCGGGUUGUAAACCGCAUGCGCAAGUGACGAUGCGUGAGUGACGGUAAUGUGUAAAGAAGCACCGGCUAACUUCGUG